rnacentral:lncRNA from 1 species
CACAGUCGCUCUGGAAGGCAGGAUCCAGAUUCAUCUGCAGGACUGGUGCAUGAGGCCAAAGUUGGAUGAGAUCAUACUCUUUGCUUGAGGUAAUGUAAGGCCUCCUUCAGGCAGACUACUUGGUCUUCAUGAGCUAAGCCAUGCAGAUGAUGGAUGAACAGGAGAUCCCAAAACCUUGCCUCCCUUUUCCCUGACACGGUCAGCGAAGUCUAUGCUUCUUAAGAGUGGGAGCUGCUGUCAGCCACAUGGCUGUCCUCCUGUUGGAUCCAUGUGUAGUGGAGGGGGGCCAUGCUGGCCUCAGAGCUCUGUUGUGAGACAUUCAGUGGCCGUGAUGUGCAGGAUGGUGUGGACAUUGCUCUGAUGCUUGCUAAGCAGUUUGAAAAUUUUGCUGAUCCUGGUCCUAGACUGUGUCUAACCCUUACAACCACUAGCCAAGAUGGAAGGUUCCUGGUUACUCCGCUCUUGGGCAUGGAUCAUCUCUGGGGUCCUCUGAAGAGAAAGGGUGAGUUCUACUUUCAAGACUGGAUGAAAGUAAUCCUGCCACACGACUGAGGGUUGUUUGAACGUCCAAAUAUCUUUUGAGACCUGAACUCAGGAUCCCUGAGAUCAAGACCUGAGCCAAGAUCAAGAAUCAGAUGCCCAACCAACUGAGCCACCCAGGUGCCCCCAGUUGGAGCCUCCACAUAUCUUGUGAGUGCUGCAGAGAUAAAAAUUCUUGUUGAGCAGUAGAUACUACAGAGCCCAUCAGCUUAUUGAUAAAGCCUAUGGACUAUAGAGUCAUACUUCCUGGGUUUCAAUCUUAUCUCUUCUGUUUGCUAGCAGGGUGACUUAGCAAAUUACUCAACCUCUCUGUGCCUUGAUUUCUUCAACUGAGAAAGGGGGAUGCUGAUUAUUGUACCUAUUUCAGUAUACUGUGUUGUGAGAAAUAAAUGAAAUAAUAUGCAUAAAGCCUUUUAAAAGUGUCUGUUUUCUUUUCCUUUAUACAUUUGUUUUGUUUCUUAAAUUCCACAUGAGUGAAAUCAUAUGAUAUUUGUCUUUCUCUGACUGACUUUUUUUAGCAUUAUACUCUUUAGAUCACUAUAUUGUAUGCUUG